UACAGAGGGGGCAAGCGUUGUUCGGAAUUACUGGGCGUAAAGGGCUCGUAGGUGGCCAACUAAGUCAGACGUGAAAUCCCUCGGCUUAACCGGGGAACUGCGUCUGAUACUGGAUGGCUUGAGUUCGGGAGAGGGAUGCGGAAUUCCAGGUGUAGCGGUGAAAUGCGUAGAUAUCUGGAGGAACACCUGUGGCGAAGGCGGCCGCCUGGUUGGAUACUGACGCUGAGACGCGAAAGCGUGGGGAGCAAACAGG
rnacentral:rRNA from 1 species